rnacentral:rRNA from 1 species
UACGGGGGGGCAAGCGGGUUGUUCGGAAUUACUGGGCGUAAAGGGUUCGUAGGUGGCCAACUCAGUCAGACGUGAAAUCCCUCAGCUCAACUGGGGAACUGGACGUCUGAUACUAGAUGGCUCGAGUGCAGGAGAGGAACGCGGAAUUCCAGGUGUAGCGGUGAAAUGCGUAGAAUAUCUGGAGGAACACCGGUGGCGGAAGGCGGCGUUCUGGACUGCAACUGGACACUGAGGAACGAAAGCCAGGGAGCAAACGGGA